rnacentral:rRNA from 1 species
UGAACGCUGACAGAAUGCUUAACACAUGCAAGUCGAUGGGGAAGUGGUGCUUGCACCAUGGCAACCAUGGCGGACGGGUGAGUAACGCGUAAGGGACUUACCUGCAGGACUGGGAUAACAGGGGGAAACUCCUGACAAGACCGGAUAAUGUCAUGGAGCUGCAUGGCUUUAUGAUGAAAGGAGACGCCUGCGGAGAGCCUUGCGUCCUAUUAGCUAGUUGGUGAGGUAAUGGCUCACCAAGGCGAAGAUAGGUAGCCGGCCUGAGAGGGUGGACGGCCACAAGGGGACUGAGAUACGGCCCUUACUCCUACGGGAGGCAGCAGUGGGGAAUAUUGGACAAUGGGGGCAACCCUGAUCCAGCAAUUCUGUGUGCACGAAGAAGGUUUUCGGAUUGUAAAGUGCUUUCAGCAGGGAAGAAGUAAGUGACGGUACCUGCAGAAGAAGCGACGGCUAAAUACGUG